AUACAUUUCUCCCUAGCUAUCUGCAUUAAAUCAGUACAGAAAUGAUAAAUAAACUACAUUUUAAGAAAGAUAAUAAGCUUUCAAAAAUAGCUAGAUUAUCAUUUCAUAACACUUCCAGAAAAACACCAUUUUAAGAACCUGGCUUGGUGUUUCAGAACAAUCGGGUCCCAUUGUAUAAGAACUGUCCCUAAAGUGCCAUAAGACCAAUGAAAGUAUCAGACAGAUGGAAAAUUACACAAAAUGCAAUUUUCUGGGGAUUUACUAGCAGAAGCAUGGUCCUGGUGGAAGAAAGAUCAGGUGGAUACUCAUAAUUUAACCAGAUUCAGUGGGUUAUCUUUUUUCUUUUUAGUUGUAGAUGGACACAACACCUUUAUUUUAUUUAUUUAUAUUUUUAUGUGCUGCAGAGGAUCAAACCCAGUGUUUCAGGAGUGCUAGGCAAGUGCUCUAUCACUGAGCCACAACCCCAGCCCCAACCUGGGUUGUCUUGAAAGAAUAUUGUGGAUAUCAGGCACAUUCCUGGUGCUGAUGGUGCCAAGAUCUGCGUAGAAACCAUCACAUAUCACUCUGAUGGCUUUGGUUAUUCACAGUAUGAUAGGAAACUAUCUGGACAAAACAGAUCUAGUUGUUCAUGUGCCAUCGUCCUGGAUUCCUCUCAAGAUGGCUAUAGGCAUUUUCUUACUAUAUCACAUAUCCCUGCUUCCAUGAUAUAUCCUGAGUGUGCAAGGGGUUUUAGCAUUGUGUAGGCAACAUGUCAUUAGGCCACUUGCCCAACUUGUAAGCAGAGUCCACAAUAAUAGAGGUACAUGCACAAAAAGAUAGAACAAUUAAGCAAAUAAUAAAAAAAAAUCCAUUUUCUAUCAGCCAUUCCAAGAAGCAAACCAGUAACAUAAUUUUUCUCAAAAGAAUCAUAUAAAGUCCAAGGGAGGGUCAAUUUUGGCAUUUACAUGUGACCUAAGGUGUAUGACAUUAGGGAGAUAGAAAACAACAUUUUUUCUUAAUGAAAGCAUAGACUGCAGGGAAAAAAAUCACAAAAGUAGUAAAAAAAUUUUCAGCAAUAAGACAGAAAAAUACAUGUUUGUCAGGGAUAUGCAAAGAUCAUUCUGCAAAUCACAAUAAAACAAUACUGGCAACUUAGUUUUUAUUAGACAAUCUUGC
rnacentral:lncRNA from 1 species